rnacentral:lncRNA from 1 species
ACAGAUAUUGCGUCCAUCUACAACUAAAAAAAAAAGAAAGAAAGAAAAAAGGUCCAUACCUAGACACAUCAUAAAAAGAGAAUUCUGAAAGCAAGGCAAAAAUGACAAGGGAGGCUCAGCAAGCUACCAGAAACUACAGAAGCUGGAAGGUUGAUAUAUUCAAUAGAAAAUGACUGUCAAUGAGAAAUUCCAUAUUUGUCCAAACUUCCAAAAAUGAAGGAAAUAUGAAGAUGUUCCCAGGUAAAAAAAAUGAAGAAAGUUCAUCUAUAACUGACCUGUCUUGCAUGAAGCACUGAAUAGAGUUCUUCAGGCUGAAAUAAAAGAACCCUGGAUAGUAAUCCAUAUGAAGAAAUAAAGAGCACCAGUAAAAACAAACAUUGAAAAACAACAUAAAUGUAUUUUUUGUUUGUAACUCCCUUUUGGUCCCUGAUUUAAAAGACAACUUUACAAUGCAAUAAUUAUAAAUCUAAAAUGGACAAACAAUGUACACAGAUGUAAUUUGUAACAAUAUCAGCAAAAUGGAAAAGAACAGAGCUAUCUAGAAGCAAAGUUUUUGUGUUCAAUUGACAUAAAUUGUUAUUAAUAUGAACUAGACUGUUAUAAACUAGCCAUCAGUGGUAAUUCCCUGAAAAGCAUAGUAAAAAUGACAGCUGGAUGAGGAGGUCCUAUAGCCCAAUUGACUGGAGGCUGAAGCAGGAGGAUUAGGUUCAAGACCAGCCUGGGCAAUUUAGCAAGCCCCUGUCUCAGAAAAUAAAAAAGGCUGGGGAUACAGCUCAGUGGUAGAGUGCCCCUGGUACUCUACCACUUCCCAGUACUGAAAAGAAAAACUGAUAGAUUAAAAUGGUACAAAAUAAGAUGUUAUAAUAAAUAACAAAAAAGGCAGUAAUACAGGAAAUAAGAUAACUAAAGGAAAUGCCAAAUGGCAGGGGUAAAUCCUGUCUUAUCUAUAAUUACAUGUAAAUAGAUUAAACAGAUUAAAAGAAUGUAUUUAAAGCAUUUUCUCACACACGCACAAUCCAAAAAUAGUCUUCUAAAUAUGAUCAGUCAAAAACGUUCAACAUCUCUAGCAAUUAGAGAAAUGUAAAUUAAAACUACAUUAAGAUUUCAUCUCACUUCAGUCAGAAUGGCAAUUAUCAAACAUAUAAGUAACAAUAAAUGUUGGCAAGGAUGUGGGGGAGAGGUUCACUCAUACAUUGCUGGUGGGAAUAUACACUGCUCUGGAAAGUAGUAUCAAGAUUCUUAAGAAAAUAUAGAAUGGAACUACCAUUUGACCCAGUUAUCCCACUCCUUGGUAUAUAUCCAAAGGACUUAAAAAUCAGCAUACUAUAGUGAUGCUGUCACAUCCAUGUUUAUAGCAGCUCAAUUAUAACAGCUAAACUAUGAAACAAGCUUAGGUGCCCUUCAACAGAUGAAUGGAUAAAGGAAACAUGGUAUAAUAAUAUACAAUGGAAUAUUACUUAGCCAUAAAAAGAAAUGAAAUUAUGGCAUUUGCCAAUAAACAGAUGGAACUGGAGACUACCAGGCUAAGUGAAAUAAGCCAGUCCCAAAAAACCAAAGGCCAGAAAUUCUCUCUGAUAUGUGGAUGCUAAAGGGUGAUGGGUAGGGAAGCCUAGAAGUACUCUGGAUCAGACAAAGGAGAAUGAAGAAAAGGAAGGGGGAAUGGGAAUAGGAAAGAUAGCAGAAUGAAUCAGAUAUUACUUUCUUAUGUUUGGGUAUGAGUACACAAGCAAUGUAAUUCCACAUCAUGUAUAACAGAAAAACAGGAAGUUGUACUCCAUGUAUGUAUACUUUUU